GUUCCUGUAGUUGAGAGGUACAACGGUGGCUUUUCAGGCCGCAAUCCUUGGAAAAAAGCCAAGCAGGAACU
rnacentral:tRNA from 1 species